CCUUGCUAGAUGGGGGCAGUGAGAAGUCGACUUUGGCUCUGCUGCUACAUCCGAGCUUCAAAUAAUGCAGGGCUGUUUCUGGAAGAAAGAGAAGCUGUGUUAUGACAGCGCCAGAUGAUUGACACGUUGCAGGUUCAUCUGCGCCCGGGUCUGAGCAGGCGGCAAAGGAGCCGCAAAGUUCAAAGGCUUUGGUUGCAAAUUAACAGAUUAUGGCUGCAGCAUGCUCAGCAAACUUAAAGACAGCUGUAAAACGCCAGCUGAAAUAAAUGAGGCCGAGAGCAAGGAACUGUGAGCCAUAAGCAAGCUGAGGAAGACUAGAAAAAUGAGAUUACGGGCCAAGGACACCACAGCAUUUUAUAUGUCUACUGAAGUAUUUUUAGAUUAGGUUCAUGUCUAGAAGGGAUGCGGUUGAAGUAACUGAUAUUGUAAAGGGGAUUGGAUGAUCAGAUAGGUAGGCUUCCCAGAGGCAUAGCAAGGAAGCCUGUUCAGAGUGAGAGCAAGGCUUCCUGCCCUCACUCUGACUUGGCUUCAAUACAGCAUCACAUCUGAUGUGGUGAUGGCCACAACAUGAAUGUCUUUAAAGUGGAUUUAAACAAACUCAGGGAUGAUAAAGCUGUCAAUGAUUUAGAUAGUGGUGGUGGUGGUAUUCAACGACAAUUGUGUAUUACCAGUAGUGUUGGAGGAAGUAUGUCUCUGAACAUCAAUUGCUGGGAAUCACAACUGGGGAGAAUGCGGUUGCAUACAGGUUCUGCUGGACUUUUAGGACCUUUGGCCUGAUCCAGCAAACAGGCUCGCCUUAUGUUCCUAUAUUGUGUUCUUAUGAAUCUGGAGGACCUUCUUUCAUUGGAGCUUCUUAAGCAGAGGUUGGGUGGCCAUCUGUGAUUCCUGCUUUGCAGAGGGUUGGACUGGAUGACCCUUGGGGUCCCUUCCAACUUUACAGAUCCACGAUACUUGCAUUGCUCAUGUACCUUGGAAUAUUGACUUCUGGACCUUGUGCUUGCUACUGAGCCUGUACAACCCGAAUAAAUAGCUCUUUCUCGCUUGCAAGUAAGAGCCACUGACAUUGUGUUUUGGGACAGGAACCUGACACUUUUUCCCUUGCAGCGUUUUCCCAAGUAAAAUCCCUAUUGGCCCUAUUAGGGAAAACCUACAGUAGAAUACAAGGCUGGGGAAGCUCCAGCCCAGGGUCCAAAUGC